CGGCAACGGAUAUCUCGGCUCUCGCAUCGAUGAAGAACGUAGCAAAAUGCGAUACUUGGUGUGAAUUGCAGAAUCCCGUGAAUCAUCGAGUCUUUGAACGCAAGUUGCGCCCGAAGCCUUUAGGCCGAGGGCACGUCUGCCUGGGCGUCAUG
rnacentral:rRNA from 8 species